GCGGGUGUAGUUCAAUGGUAGAACUUCAGCCUUCCAAGCUGAUAGCGUGGGUUCGAUUCCCAUCACCCGCUC
rnacentral:tRNA from 2 species